rnacentral:lncRNA from 1 species
AGGAACCUCCAGACCUGCACGUGAGAGGCAGGGGCCAGCCUCUGAGAGGAAGACUGAGCUCUGAGCAGAAGGGGGCUGUGUGCUGGGUGGGCAGAGCCUACAGCUAUCCCACCACAGCUGUUGUGUACUGUGAAUGGCAGAUUAAGAAAUGCCUUUGGUUGUGUCUCACAGGACUCACUUGAGAGAGAAUCAGGCUGGCAGAGGUGGUCACCAACAACUUGGAGAAGUGAAGCAAAGACAUCCAAAGCUGCAAAAUACACUGAAAUCCAUCUUGGGAGAAGAAUAUCCUGGUGUCUGGUGAACCUCGCCGGAGCCACCAGCAUGGGAAACCCAGAAACUCCAGAAGAAGAGAGGGCAUUUCGAGUGAAGAAAUAACCAUAGGCGAAGAUCCCAGAAGGUAAACUCAUUCCUUUAAUGCAUCUAAUUCUCCACGAUGCAUGUGGCAGGAGCAGAGACGUUUCACUAGCCCCCAUUGCUCCUCUGGGCUUAAGGAUUGAUGGCCUCUGCAAGUUACAUCCUGGAACUGACUCUCUCCUCUGCCACAGCUGCCUCGAAGCUCAGAUGGAGGAAGGGAACUAAAUCUCCUUUUAUUGUGCAUCUCCUGUGUGCUAGAUGUCAAGUGCCUUCUGCGUAUCCCAUCCUUUCAGCGAUCCUGUGUACAUGUUUGUUUCCUAGCCCCAGGAAGCCUGGCGUCCCAGGAUCUGCCUCUACUUUUUGAAGAGCUUACCUGCAUUGAUAUCAGAGUUCAGGAUAAUUCCACUCAAGGCAGAUUUCUCUCCCCAAGAAAUUCUGACUCACAAAUUGGAGGAGCCUGAUUAAUCAGGAGGGAUUUUGCGGCAAAUGCCAUCAGACAUCCCGCCAUCCCCUUUCAGGAGGGGAGAAGCCCUGCUCUGGCUGGUGUCACCCAGCAAUCAGGACCACCUGUAAGGAUGCAAAGGUGAGAGCCCCCACUGACAUGAAGAUGCACCUUUGGAUUCUGAGUCCUGCCCAGAUCUAAAUCCCAGGAGGUAGCAUCACUCCUCCAGCAGUAGGACGUGGCAGUGCCCUGACAGGAACGUCGAUUCCAACCAAGCAGAAAGCUCAAAGCUGCAGGAAGCACCAGGCUGUAAUGCAAGCUUUCUACCUUUGCUGUGAUGAAAACUUGUUCAGGUCCAAAUGUGGAGCCCGGACACCUUUCAUUGAGAGCAGCCCUGACAUGGUUCUGCUCAAAUAAACUAAAGAUCCCGUUUCCAAUGAUUCAUUUGAUAGAAACAUCAGGAUCACUGAAGCAUGGAUUGGCCUCUGUGAUCCCUCUUCGAAAAACACAGACAGGGAUCAUGAGAUUGUUGAGAUAACAAGAAAGAAGAAAUGGCCAGUUUUUUUCUCUUUCUUUCUUCUUGGCUUUUCUGGCGGCGCUGGCUCCUGGCAUUUGGGGUAACCCACGAGUGUUAGAGAUGACAAUAAAGAAGAGAUGGGAUGUAAAGGAUUACGGAAAAGCUCAGGAGGAUGCUCACCCCAACCCUGCGUAUUCGUUACCCGCACUCAGGACAGGAGUCCUGGCCACCGCUUGGAUCUGGUUCUUGGGCUAAGGAGCUUCUGCUCUGAGCUGGCAGCAGACACCCAAUAAGGUCUCAGUGACAGGGCCCUGCUAAGGGAUAAGGAAGAUACGUGAGGACCCAGGGAAGAGCAGCCUGCUGACUACAAGUUCCUCAAGGGCAAGGACCACGUCUGAUGAAUGUCCCACUGCAGCCCAUCCCACAGCACAGCUGUAUCGUGAUAAAAGCAGAACGAGAGAAUAAAUGAAGGAAUGCAAGGCAGACCCCAAGGAAAGCCAAUGGAGAGGUAAAACCAAGCAGCCCCUGGAGGCCUGAGGAGAGGGUGCUAUCUCCAUCUGGGGGAUCUAGGAUGACUUCCUGGAGGAGGUGGCAUUGGAACUUUGGGGAUUCUCUGGCUGUGAAUUCAGAGGGUUCUCCUGCCUCAUUUAGACAUUCAAAGACGACUUACUAAUUAACAACUGGAGAAAGAAUUCUGCAUGCAGACUGUUUGUACCUUAGCCGAGUGUCCCCAAACUUGGGAAACACAGUAGCACUUUA